rnacentral:rRNA from 1 species
AACGAGCGCUGGCAGCAGGCCUAACACAUGCAAGUCGAACGCACCGCAAGGUGAGUGGCGCACGGGUGAGUAACACGUGGGAAUGUACCCUUUGGUUCGGAAUAACGUUUGGAAACGAACGCUAAUACCGGAUGAGCCCUGUGGGGGAAAGAUUUAUCGCCAAAGGAGCAGCCCGCGUCUGAUUAGCUAGUUGGUGGGGUAAAGGCCUACCAAGGCGACGAUCAGUAGCUGGUCUGAGAGGAUGAUCAGCCACACUGGGACUGAGACACGGCCCAGACUCCUACGGGAGGCAGCAGUGGGGAAUAUUGGACAAUGGGCGGAAGCCUGAUCCAGCCAUGCCGCGUGAGUGAUGAAGGCCUUCGGGUUGUAAGACUCUUUCGUCACGCGACGAUGAUGACGGUAGCGUGAGAAGAAG